UCCGAGUUGUCCCCGGCAGUCUCCUUAGAGUCCCCGGCAUUACCCGCUGGCAACUAAGGACAGGGGUUGCGCUCGUUGCGGCACUUAAGCCAACACCUCACGGCACGAGCUGACGACAACCAUGCACCACCUGUGCACGGCCCUUACGGACCUCCCAUCUCUGGAAGAUUUCCGUAUAUUUCAAGCCUUGGUAAGGUUCUUCGCGUUGCUUCGAAUUAAACCACAUGCUCCGCUGCUUGUGCGGGCCCCCGUCAAUUCCUUUGAGUUUUAGCCUUGCGGCCGUACUCCCCAGGCGGGGCGCUUAAUGCGUUAGCUACGGCACGGAUCCCGUGGAAGGAAACCCACACCUAGCGCCCACCGUUUACGGCGUGGACUAC
rnacentral:misc_RNA from 1 species